GGACAGGUGGCCGAGUGGCUGAAGGCGUCAGUCUCGAAAACUGAAAUACCGGCAACGGUAUCGUGAGUUCGAAUCUCACCCUGUCCGCCA
rnacentral:tRNA from 2 species